CGAACUAUAGAUCUACGUCUGAUUGUUCUACCAUUCGAAAUGCUGUUCCUCUUUGCUUGGCUCACCUUGCAAAUCUACAAUGCCCGGAUUGGAUUUAAAAACAGAGCAAAACAUUACUUUGAAAAUAAAAGGAGAUCAGAAUCAGAGGUUGUUCCAGAGAUGAAGGUUCUCUCAGACCCUAAUCUUGACUGAUCUGAGGUGAUUAGUAAAUAUUUUCUCAAAAGUAUUCUUGUCUUG